rnacentral:rRNA from 1 species
UACGUAGGGUGCAAGCGUUGUCCGGAAUCAUUGGGCGUAAAGCGCGUGUAGGCGGCCCGAUAAGUCCGCUGUGAAAGUCCAGGGCUCAACCCUGGGAUGCCGGUGGAUACUGUCGGGCUCGAGUCCGGGAAGAGGAGUGUGGAAUUCCUGGUGUAGCGGUGAAAUGCGCAGAGUAUCAGGAAGAACACCAACGGCGAAGGCAGCUCGCUGGGACGGAACUGACGCUGAGGCGCGAAAGCGUGGGGAGCGAACAGG